rnacentral:rRNA from 1 species
ACUGUAGGCUGCAACUCGCCUACACGAAGUUGGAAUUGCUAGUAAUCGUGGAUCAGCAUGCCACGGUGAAUACGUUCCCGGGUCUUGUACACACCGCCCGUCACACCAUGGGAGCUGGUAACACCCGAAGUCAGUAGUCUAACCGCAAGGAGGACGCUGCCGAAGGUGGGAUUAGCGACUGGGGUGAAGUCGUAACAAGGUAGC